UAGAGUUUGAUCAUGGCUCAGAGUGAACGCUGGCGGCGUGGAUUAGGCAUGCAAGUCGAACGAUACCGCAAGGUAUAGUGGCAAAAGGGCGAGUAACACGUGAGUAAUCUGCCUUCGAGUGGGGAACAACCUUGGGAAACCGAGGCUAAAACCGCAUAAGACCACGGCCUGGCAUCAGGCUGUGAUCAAAUGGGGGGACCGUAAGGCCUCUAGCUUGAAGAUGAGCUCGCGUCCUAUCAGCUUGUUGGCGGGGUAAUGGCCCACCAAGGCUUUUGACGGGUAGCUGGACUGAGAGGUUGGUCAGCCGCAUUGGGACUGAGACACUGCCCAGACUCCUACGGGAGGCUGCAGUCGAGGAUAUUUAGCAAUGCCCGAAAGGGUGACUAUGCGACGCCGCGUGCGCGAUGAAGGUCUUCGGAUUGUAAAGCGCUGUCAGCCGGGAGGAAUCUCGGGGGCUUUAACAAAGCCGCCGGGUGACAGUACCGGCAGAGGAAGCCACGGCUAACUCCGUGCCAGCA
rnacentral:rRNA from 1 species